AUGAUGUCACAAGGGGGAUGCCGUUGAGGCGGGACUUGGCUAACGGAGAGUUGAGACUCCAUGGAGUUUCGGGACAAAAAAAAAAUGAUUUGGAUCGGGUCGGUACUUAAGAAUUUUUGGGGUCGGGUUUGCUUUGAAACUAGAGACCCGGGUCGUGGUUAGAAACGAGGUCAGAGUUCAAAAACCCGCACCCUAUUCUCUAAACGGUGCACUACUUGGACAGGGUCAUAGGUCACACUUGGUCUGGGUUGGGUUUAUCCGGGUCGGUGGGUCCCUGGAGGACCGUAUGUGGACAACAACAACAACAACAACAGGUUAUGGAGCGGCGCUGCAUUAAAAGAACCACCGGGGUGGUUGUGUUCUGAUCCGGGUCUCGCCGACCGUGUCAGGUGGACAGUACGGUCUCGCCGACCGUGUCAGGUGGACAGUAUGGUCUCGCCGACCGUGUGAGGUGGACAGUAUGGUCUCGCCGACCGUGUGAAGUGGACAGUAUGGUUAGUGGACUGGUUCUGCCGUUGUAGGCAGGACUGGGUUCGCUGUAGCACAACAAAUGACGCACAACAGCAACACUUUACUGACGUUGUUUACAAUGUUGUUUACAACGUUGUUUACAAUGUUGUUUACAAUCUUUACAACGACCAGGAAUAUUUACGCUACACAAUAUUACAGUACUGUAUGUACAACUGUGUACUAUGUAGUACUAACGUGUAUAACUGUGUACUCUCUGGUACUAAUGGGUAUAACUGUGAGCUAUGUAGUACUAACAGGUAUAACUGUGUACUAUGUAGUACUAACAKGUAUAACUGUGUACUMUGUAGUACUAACRGSUAUAACUGUGUACUAUGUAGUACUAACRGSUAUAACUGUGUACUAUKUAGUACUAACRGSUAUAACUGUGUACUAUGUAGUACUAACAGGUAUAACUGUGUACUAUGUAGUACUAGCAUCAUAUCUGCUGUGCAGACUCUCUCCUCUAGGAGUGUUUUAAUAAUAAAUAUGACGUUUAUAUUUCA